rnacentral:pre_miRNA from 9 species
UCUCGAUAAUGUAUAAGUUAAAUCAAAUUUGUAUGGAGUUGGAAUGUUUGCCUACGUUUGCCGUUAGAGGCGCUGUUCCAACUGCAUACAAAUUUGAGUCAACUUUUACGUUUAUCGA